rnacentral:rRNA from 1 species
CCUACGGGAGGCAGCAGUGAGGAAUAUUGGUCAAUGGGCGCGAGCCUGAACCAGCCAUGUAGCGUGAAUGAUGACUGCCCUCCGGGUUGUAAACUUCUUUUAUCAAGGAAUAAAGUGAGUCACUUGUACCUUUUUGUAUGUACUUUAUGAAUAAGAAUCGGCUAACUCCGUGCCAGCAUCCGCGGUAAUACGGAGGAUCCGAGCGUUAUCCGGAUUUAUUGGGUUUAAAGGGAGCGUAGGUGGGUGGUUAAGUCAGUUGUGAAAGUGUGGGGCUCAACCUGAAAAUUGCAAUUGAUACUGGUAGGCUUGAGUAUAGUUGAGGUAGGUGGAAUUCGUGGUGUAGCGGUGAAAUGCGUAGAGAUCACGAAGAACUCCGAUUGCGAAGGCAGCCUACUAAACUGCCACUGACACUGAUGUUCGAAAGUGUGGGUAUCAAACAGGAUUAGAUACCCCUGUAGUC